CCUACGGGAGGCAGCAGUGAGGAAUAUUGGUCAAUGGCCGGGAGGCUGAACCAGCCAAGUCGCGUGAGGGAAGACGGCCCUACAGGUUGUAAACCUCUUUUGUCAGGGAGCAAGGUGCAGGUCGGGACCUGCUCUGAGAGUACCUGAAGAAAAAGCAUCGGCUAACUCCGUGCCAGCAGCCGCGGGAAGACGGAGGAUGCGAGCGUUAUCCGGAUUUAGUGGGUUUAAAGGGUGCGCAGGCGGAGGGACAAGGCAGCGGUAAAAUUGCGGGGCUCAACCCCGCUCCGCCGUUGAAACUGUGUGCCUUGAGUGCGCGAAGGGUAGGCGGAAUGCGUGGUGUAGCGGUGAAAUGCAUAGAUAUCACGCAGAACUCCGAUCGCGAAGGCAGCCUACCGGCGCGCAACUGACGCUCAUGCACGAAAGCGUGGGUAUCGAACAGGAUUAGAUACCCGGGUAGUC
rnacentral:rRNA from 1 species